rnacentral:lncRNA from 1 species
AGUGUGAGGGGCUAUGAGUUAUGUGUCUCCCAACACGGAAGAGCCAUUUGGAUCCAGUCACAGAAACGGCUAGUGCUGGCUUUAAGAGGUCAAAUCUGCUUUGGUCAAUCUUUUUACGCCAGUGUUACCUUAAGAAGACAAAAUUCCCUUAUUAGAAUACUUUACCGAAUACUGAUGUCUGGAUGUCGAGGUCGUAUUUCACGUGCGCAUGUGUGUGUCUUUGCACAUAUCCUCAACAUGACGAGAGACAAGUGACACACCCUGGCUCUGUGAGGUUGUCGUACCCAGCCCAUCCGUUGCUCUCCGAGCAUGCUCAGGUUCCGUAUUUCCACCCCAGCUGAGAGAAGAAGGAACAGAAGGUAAAGGGGCAAGGAUGACCAACAGCAAUGUCCUUGAUACCCCGUUAAUUCUGCAUGCCCUGACUGCCUGGUGCCCUUUCUCAAAAGCCACGAAAGAGAAAUCUCAGGUCAAACGGAGCAGAUCAACUUACAGAGACCAGGAGUCAAUGCUGGCCUUAACACUUGAGGCUGCACCAAGAAGCCAGGCAGGGCGUAGUGUGGAGGGUCCUGUGAUCUCACCUGAGCCCACAGCAGAGCAAUCUGCCAGGAGAAACAUACUUUUGUUCUUUGAAAGUUUUUCUGAAUUGAUUUUAACUGAUAUCCUGUAUCCAUUGUGAAAUAUUCAAAUCAGGGUGGACAAAUC